UCUCCUCCCCAAUCGCCUCCCACGUCUCUCCGGCCAUACAACCGCGAUUCCUGGUCGCCGCCAUCUCCUCCCCCGCGGGCUGCUGCUUUGCUCUGCCUCUCCAUCCUCCUCGCUGAGGUACCCGACGACAUGGAACCAGCAAGGUCGCAUCUUCCUCGAAGCAGCGCAGGAGGAGCAGGCGCCCAAAAGGGCCAUCCAAUCGGUGGUCAACAAGAGAAGCCUGGGUCAUGGACGUCGCCGAACUCGGAUGCGACGUCCACCCUCUUGCAGCAGGGAGGUGGAAACACUGACGAUUGUCUCACCAGGCUGCUCAAUUGGGUCUGAAGCCAAGGAUCUAAAUGUGAGGUGCCCAACAUCCUAGAGAACAAUGAGCCAAAAUAACCCUACUCCUCCGGUAAACGUUUAUGCAUUUAUACUCUUGAUGUAUGCUUUAGCUUUGAGGAGGCAAGAAAUUUAUUUAUAUCUGUGGAGGCUAGAUUUUCUUUUGAUUUUCUCACUUCCACAGCUGCUUGGAAGUAAAUAAAGAAUUUCCAUUAUCCUGGAGUGCAUCAUUGAAAUGGAGCUCAUUGAAAUCAUUAUGGUUGAAGGAUGAGGUGGAGCCAACAAGUGCAGCAAUGAAAAUUGUGAACAAUUAGUUAGAAGGUUGUAGGACAAGGUCCAUUCCUUUGGUUCAGAACAUUUUGCUUCCGAAACGAAGUAGUACUGAAAUCAAUGCUCGAGUAAAUCUUGAGAUGAAUGCAGUUACUGAGUUGCUUGAUCUGGACAUUUUCAUACCUAAGGUAGUUGUCCACACUUCUCUAUCCGAUCAGCCAUGUGCUAUGCUAUUGUCAUGCCAUCUCCCUAAUUCCCUAACUCCUCUUUGCUUUGUGCUUAUCCCAUUUUAUUCUUGUGGUUUUCAUUGAAUGUAAUUGCAUUGAAUUGUAACCAUAUGGUACAUAGACAACGACAUUUCUGACAUGAAGGGAAAAUAAGCUUUAACAUUGCGCAACAUAAAGCUCAAAGCCUUAGUUUUGGCCUCUUGAUAGCUGUAUUCAAAAUUGCUAUAAAAAACUACCUGACAAUCUAUUUUGUACAGAAAAGAAGUGAUGUUAUGGACUCUCGAGUAUCGAAAGUAUAGGAAGUGCAGUGUGUAUCAAUUAUAUUAGCCAAUUUGCCUUUGCAUGAAAAGUUAAAUCCAUCUGUCAUGUUAUAUCAGUUAUGAUCUUAUUAUUUACUGUUCUUAUACUUUCUGCAGAAAAAUACCAGGUUGUUUAAAAGGUUGGAUCUUAGCUUUUCUUUUCUUGGUUAUGAGGUCAAAGAUUCUACUGCUAGGAUGAAAAGUAAAUCACUUGAACAUAUCAGUUUACAUGUAUCAGAUAACACUUCUGGUUCUUUACCUUGCCAAGGCCGAUAGGAUUUGUCUUCAGCCUGUCCAGCGGACUAGAUGGACUUUUGGGCAAAAGGCUACCAUUGAGCUCACUCAGUAUAUUUAUUAUUCUUUAAUGUUCUCCUUUGUUUUUAUAAAUGCUAUAUGAUUUCGAUGUUGUUUCUUGUGCCGUGAUCUGAAAUAGGUUCUGGUUUAGUUCUUUGUUUAGUCAUUUUGUUAACAUAAGCAAACUAAAGAGAUGGUCAAGCUAUAAACCCUGCUUUACUUGCCAUGAUUUUUGUUUCCUAGGUUGAUAGUGUGCUAAUUACAUAGAUCUCUCGGAAGCAUAUCACAAGGUUUCUCCGCUCGCACCUGGGAAUGAGAAAUCUCCAGGGUUGUAUUUCUUCUUUGUUCUGAUAUAUCAUCAUUCGGGAUCGAUAGGGCAUAAAAGCACCUAUUAGUUCGACUUAUACGAGUGCUUGAGUAGGUCCACUAAUUUUGGUUAUAGGAUCUAAACUACACUAUUCCAUCCUAUGUUCUCUCUGAUUUAAUUCAGGUGCAUCAUGAACUUCAACGAUAUCACGCACCAUUUCCUGCUUUCUAUUUACGCUGCCCUUGAUCUGAAGAAAAAGAAAAAAAAUACGCAGCAGCUAGGCGCAGUCCAUGCAACUGCUAUGGACAUUCAGAGGGCCUCUCCUGAAUCUGCUGAAUUAUGUAUUGGGAGCGAUGGGGUAGCUCCUGCUGAUGAGUCAAUGGAUCGAGCUUUAGCAAGGUUAAUCAUCGGUGAGAACGAGCUUUAGCCGUUCAUCGCGCUAUCGUCUAGACCCCCGCGCUGCUGCUGUCCUCGUCCCCGUCGCACCGCUGCAUCUCCUUGCCAUGCCAGCAGGGGUGAGCAGCAUCUGGUAGCGCCUUCUCCUGUCCUCUUCGCUGUUCGUCGGCGUGCCUCUGUGUGAGAUACCGGCAGCGGUAGGCGAUUUGGUGCGGUGGUCAGGAGAUUUGGCUGUGGUGGGCGUUUAGGGAGAUGGACUGGGGAAGAAGGCGGUGGGACAGUGGUGGGCGGCUAGCGGCAACUACAUGGGUGGUAAAGCGUCAAGAAAAAAUCCACUUGCAGGCGUUUGAUUUCUGAUGUUUUGCAGCCACCAAGUGUUGGCUUUGCUCUAGCGACAUCGUUCGUCCUACAUCAUUUGGUGAGUACAGCCAUCUCCGUUUCUUUGACUAUUGCAGCAGUUAUACUCUUAUUUUUUAAAUAAUUUGGGUUUAUCUUUCUAUUGAAAAUAAGCUGGAUGAGAUGCUUUUCACCUUGCAAGCAGUUUCCAUUUGCGUAUAUCCAUGUUUGUGUG